AUUGAACGCUGGCGGCAUGCCUUACACAUGCAAGUCGAGCGGUAACGGGCCUUCGGGUGCCGACGAGUGGCGAACGGGUGAGUAAUACAUCGGAACGUGCCCGAUCGUGGAGGAUAACGAGGCGAAAGCUUUGCUAAUACCGCAUACGAUCUACGGAUGAAAGCAGGGGACCGCAAGGCCUUGCGCGGACGGAGCGGCCGAUGGCAGAUUAGGUAGUUGGUGGGAUAAAAGCUUACCAAGCCGACGAUCUGUAGCUGGUCUGAGAGGAUGAUCAGCCACACUGGGACUGAGACACGGCCCAGACUCCUACGGGAGGCAGCAGUGGGGAAUUUUGGACAAUGGGCGCAAGCCUGAUCCAGCCAUGCCGCGUGCAGGAUGAAGGCCUUCAGGUUGUAAACUGCUUUUGUACGGAACGAAAAGCCUUCUUUUAAUACAGGAGGGUCAUGACGGUACCGUAAGAAUAAGCACCGGCUAACUACGUG
rnacentral:rRNA from 1 species